rnacentral:rRNA from 1 species
UAGGGAAUCUUCCGCAAUGGACGCACGUCUGACGGAGCAACGCCGCGUGAGUGAAGAAGGAUUUCGGUUCGUAAAACUCUGUUGUUAGAGAAGAACAGCGCAUAGAGUAACUGUUAUGCGUGUGACGGUAUCUAACCAGAAAGCCACGGCUAACUACGUGCCAGCAGCCGCGGUAAUACGUAGGUGGCAAGCGUUGUCCGGAUUUAUUGGGCGUAAAGCGAGCGCAGGCGGUCAAUUAAGUCUGAUGUGAAAGCCCCCGGCUCAACCGGGGAGGGUCAUUGGAAACUGGUUGACUUGAGUGCAGAAGGGGAAAGUGGAAUUACAUGUGUAGCGGUGAAAUGCGUAGAUAUAUGGGAGAACACCAGUGGCGAAGGCGACUCUCUGGUCUGUAACUGACGCUGAGGUUCGAAAGCGUGGGUAGCAAACAGG